rnacentral:rRNA from 1 species
GUAGGGUGCGAGCGUUAAUCGGAAUUACUGGGCGUAAAGCGUGCGCAGGCGGUUUUAUAAGCCAGAUGUGAAAGCCCCGGGCUCAACCUGGGAAUGGCAUUUGGGACUGUAAGGCUGGAGUAUGGCAGAGGAGACUAGAAUUCCUGGUGUAGCAGUGAAAUGCGUAGAUAUCAGGAGGAAUACCGAUGGCGAAGGCAGGUCUCUGGGCCAAUACUGACGCUCAUGCACGAAAGCGUGGGGAGCAAACAGGAUUAGAUACCCUGGUAGUCCACGCCCUAAACGAUGUCAACUGGUUGUUGGGGGAUUUAUUCUCUUAGUAACGAAGCUAACGCGUGAAGUUGACCGCCUGGGGAGUACGGUCGCAAGAUUA